GAUGAAGAACGCAGCGAAAUGCGAUAAGUAAUGUGAAUUGCAGAAUUCAGUGAAUCAUCGAAUCUUUGAACGCACAUUGCGCCCGCCGGCACUCCGGCGGGCAUGCCUGUCCGAGCGUCAUUUCAACCCUCAGGACCCCCUUCCGGGGGGGACCUGGCGCUGGGGAUCAGCGGCCUCCGGGCCCCUGUCCCCCAAAUGCAGUGGCGGUCGCGCCGCAGCCUCCCCUGCGUAGUAGCACACCUCGCACCGGAGAGCGGCUCGGCCACGCCGUGAAACCCCCAAUUUUUCAAGGUUGACCUCGGAUCAGGUAGGAAUACCCGCUGAACUUAAGCAUAUCAUAAGCGGAGGA
rnacentral:misc_RNA from 1 species